rnacentral:lncRNA from 1 species
AUAUUACUAACUUAUUUCUGGGUAUCAUGCUUCAGAGAACCAUGAUGUGUUACAAUACGCUCCGCUCUUUAAUUUUAGUUUAGUAGAAAAUAUUCUCAAAACCUACAUAUAUCAAAAUUAUGUCAGGGUUCUAAAAUGAAUCGGUAAUAAAAUCGUAAACCAGAUCAACAUUGGAAAUAAUUUAAAAAAUUUGCUUUGGUCCGAUUGAAAAAAGUACUAUACUACCAAAUAGUUACAUCUAUUCUGUAGCAAUAAAAGUUAUAAAAUUCUGUCUAUUAUUAAUUUUAAUAUUAUAAAGUGUAUCGUUUAACUCUUAGCCAUUAUUUAUAAUUUAAUUGUUAAUUAUGCCUAAAAAAACGAAUUAACAACUUUGGUAUUGUUUGGAAGGUAAACAGCUUAAUUCCUUUAUGUAAAGCCACCUUAACAUGUUUUUGCAUAAUUCUGACUCACGUUGGUUGCUAUCGGGCUUAAGCCAUAAAAAUCGAAGAAAAAAAGAAGAAGACGAAGAGACUUUCACUUGUCAUUUCAAUGUCACUUUCCGGCCCACAAGCAUAAACGCCACCGGCAACGGAAGUUCCCAAAAUCCAAACAAAUGUUGGAAGAUAUUUUUAAGUCUCCGCAUCUUUCUUACUUUCCUAUAUGAAAAUAAAAUGUAAGUAUCACAAUUACACACAUACAAGUUUUUUUUUUUAAUUCAGUUUCAUAAUUACCAAUUUUUAGUGAAUAAUCCUGAAAUUUAUGAAAAUACAUACAUUUUAAGGUUAUGUCAUAAUGUUUUGAUUGUUAUAUUUGAUUUUGUUUUUGUUAUUUUAGUGGACUACACCAACAAAGGUUAUGUGUUUUGCACCAGAUUGAAAGCAUCAUAGCGAAAAACGGACCUGUCAUAUCUUUAAAUUUUCAAAAGAGCCCCUGGAAAAAGAAAAAUGAAUAUCUUUGCCAAGGAAUAGGCAAAUGGAUAAAAAACCUUCAGUCCAUGCAUUGGUAUGUAAUUGUUGACAAAAAUACAAUGAAUGGCCUCACUACUUUUCCACAUGCAAAGAGGUUAACCAAGGAGAAAUUAAAGAAAUUGUCAAAAACCUAGGUAAAUACAGAAUUGCUUAGUACAAACAUAUCUAUACCCAGUACAAGUUCGUCCACUUCUUUGAAGCAUGGUACUUCAAACAGAGACACUGUCAACAAUUUUGUAGAAGGUGAGCCGGUGUCAAAUUCCAGUAAGGGACAUGAUUUCAAUUUUGCACCAACAGCAGAGCUAAAAUUCAUUUUGCCGCAAAAAACUGGAGGAUGUGAAAGAAAAAAGUGCAGAAGUUAAAAUUAAGUUUUUCAUAUGAGCACAUAAAAAAUAAUCAUGACAAAGUUCAGUUGUAUACAGGUUUGACAUGUAAUAAAUAUUUUUGUAAUCUUAUUAAGUUAAUUAGUUUUAUAUAUUAUUUAAAUAAUAAUUGUAUACUUCACAUAGAA